rfam:Lactobacillus mixtipabuli DNA, scaffold: sequence04, strain: IWT30.
AUUAUCAAAUUAAGUUUGAUUUUUAGGAAGUUAGAUGUUGCAAUUUUCCGAAUUUCCUGUUAUUGUAUUGGUAAUGUAUUUAUGCUUCGGAAUUAAGGUACAACGUUCUCUUUAGAAUGGCUCCUUAUUCAAAAGUUUCAAAUGCAAAAUUUAUUUGCGCAUGGCGCAUGGAGGUUUCAUUCUAAUGGAACAAGGUACUGUUAAAUGGUUCAACGCUGACAAAGGUUACGGUUUUAUCACUCUUGAAAACGGCUCAGAUGUAUUCGUACAUUUCUCAGCUAUCAAUGCUGACGGCUUCAAGACUCUUGAAGAAGGCCAAAAGGUUACUUUAGACGUUGAAGACGGCGACCGCGGCCCACAAGCUGCUAACGUUACUGUUGCUUAAUUCUUAUUAAGCCCAUAAAAAGCCACUGAUCAUUAUGAUCAGUGGCUUUUUU